rnacentral:rRNA from 1 species
AUACGGAGGGUGCGAGCGUUAAUCGGAAUUACUGGGCGUAAAGCGUACGUAGGCGGUUCGUUAAGUUAGAUGUGAAAGCCCCGGGCUUAACCUGGGAACUGCAUUUAAAACUGGCGAACUAGAGUUAAGUAGAGGGGAGUGGAAUUUCAGGUGUAGCGGUGAAAUGCGUAGAGAUCUGAAGGAACACCAGUGGCGAAGGCGACUCCCUGGACUUGAACUGACGCUGAGGUACGAAAGCGUGGGUAGCAAACGGGAUUAGAAACCCCAGUAGUCC